rnacentral:misc_RNA from 1 species
UAGAUGGAGGAUUUGAUUUGGUAAAUGGUAAACAAAAAGUACUGCUGAACUUGGAACAUACUUGAAGGUGCAUGAAGGUGAAAGUGAAAAGGUGUUCACAUGUGAUUGUAUUUUCCGUAAGCCCUAUCAAAGAGAAAUCGUAAAGAAUUCGUUUUUAUUUGUAGUUUGGUUUAUAUUUAAGAAACGUGUAAAGAGUAAGUUAAGAUAGUCAGUUUGUUGUGUGUUUAAACUCUGAAAUAUUUGUAAACAUAGUUAUCUUAUUUCUUUAAUGUAUAGCUAUUUGGUCUUAGAAUUUUAAUUUUGCACAAGGAAUCUGCAUUAGAACAUAAAUGUUUAGUUAUGUAAGGUGUGUUUCUAGCCAGGAGCCACACAAGUUUUGUGAGUUGGUAAAUUUUACAUGUGACUAUCGGAGAGUGAAUCAAUAUGACCUCUUUGGUUUGCCUUCAGUGUCAGCAUAGAUGCCAAGCGGAUCAAUUAACGGACAUGGUCGGGAUGAAGACAGCAGUGGACCUGUGGCAAUUGUUGCCUUUGGCAACGCAUUAUUAGACAUGUCCAUAUCUGUUAAAGAUGAUUCUCUGAUACACAAAUACGGAUUGCCCUGUGAUGCUCAGAUCGAGGUAACCAACGAACAACAGGGAUUGUUCUCCGAAGUAAUUCAAAAUUACCCAGUUGAGUACGUGGCUGGCGGUAGCGCUCAAAACACGGUCCGAAUCCUUAGCAGAUUAAUCAAAAACCAAUGGCCGUCUUACGUGAUAGGCAAAAUCGCCCACGAUCCGGCUGGCAUCAUCCUUCAAAAGUUAUUAGCUCAGGAUGGCGUAAGAACUCGAUACGUCUUCGACGAAAAGUUGCCGACGGGCUGUUGCGUGGCCAUUGUCCGUCCUGGCGGCACGCGCUGUCUGGCCGCAAACAUCGGCGCAGCCCGUGAGUUCAACAAGGAGAAUUUCGUUGCCGACAUGAUGGACUUGAUAGAUCGGGCUCGAAUUCUCUACGUCGAAGGAUUCUUCGCUAGCCACAGCCCAGACGUUGCCAUGGCCGCGUUAAGCCGCGGCCAUUCUCGAGAAGGUCUGGUCCGAGUCGUCAGCCUUUCAGCUCAAUACAUUUGCCUCCAGUCUCACAGUCUAUUAAGGCGGCUCCUAUCCUACGCCAAUCUUGUCGUUGGUAACGAAGACGAAUUCCGUGCCUUGGCCGGCCGCGCUGGCCUCCUGCUGGUUAGCUCCGCCGAAUGCGAAUCCAUAGCCUCCGUCGCCCGCAAAGUUGCCGCUUUGGACUAUAUCUCACCUGUGAAUCAAUUCAAGUCUUGUCGCCUCUCGGAUUUUCAAGGGUCGACGGAGGCGUGGGAUUGGUCGAAACUGAACGAGAGAUUGGCCGUGGUGACUUGCGGCGCUUCGGGAGUGGUUUGCGCUACGCGGUCCGAGUCGUGGCUAUUCCCGGCCGAGAAGCUUCAACCGCAUCUGGUGAAGGACACGACAGGAGCCGGCGAUGCUUUCCUGGCCGGUUUCUUUUCCCAGCUCCUCGUUGGCCGACCGCUGGACGUUUGCGUCGCCACGGGUCAGCAAACGGCCCGGAUCGUCAUCACUCAAACUGGUUGCCGCCUCCCCGUUUGAUCUCUUUUAUCGAACAAGAAAGAAAAAAGACAAUCGCACGACAUUUUUCGACAGAUGGAAGAGAAAUAGAUCUAUUGAUUACA